GACAAACGCUGGCGGGGUGCGUGAGACAUGCAAGUCGAACGAGGAGCCUCCGAGCUUGCUUGGAGGUUUCCUAGUGGCGGACGGCUGAGUAACGCGUAGGUGACCUACCCGGAAGUGGGGAAUAACUGCCCGAAAGGGUGGCUAAUACCGCAUGUGAUCGGUGAUUCGAUUCACCGCUUAAAGGAGCAAUCCGCUUCCGGCGGGGCCUGCGUUCGAUUAGCUAGUUGGUGGGGUAACGGCUCACCAAGGCGACGAUCGAUAGCUGGUCUGAGAGGAUGAUCAGCCAGACUGGGACUGAGAACGGCCCAGACUCCUACGGGAGGCAGCAGUCGGGAAUUUUGCCCAAUGGACGAAAGUCUGAGGCAGCAACUCCGCGUGAGGGACGAAGGCUCUAGGGUCGUAAACCUCUUUUCUCAGGGAAGACCCAAGACGGUACCUGAGGAAUAAGCCACGGCUAACUACGUGCCAGCAGCCGCGGUAAUACGUAGGUGGCAAGCGUUGUCCGGAUUUACUGGGCGUAAAGAGCGCGCAGGCGGCUGGUCAAGUCCGAUGUGAAAUCUCCCGGCUCAACUGGGAAACUGCAUCGGAAACUGAUCGGCUUGAAGGUGGGAGAGGGUAGUGGAAUUCCCGGUGUAGUGGUGAAAUGCGUAGAUAUCGGGAGGAACACCAGUGGCGAAGGCGGCUUCCUGGACUAACACUGACGCUGAGGCGCGAAAGCGUGGGGAGCAAACAGGAUUAGAUACCCUGGUAGUCCACGCCGUAAACGAUGAGAACUAGCCGUCGGAAGCAUCUGGCUUUUGGUGGCGCAGCUAACGCGUUAAGUUCUCCGCCUGGGGAGUACGGCCGCAAGGCUAAAACUCAAAUGAAUUGACGGGGGCCCGCACAAGCGGUGGAGCAUGUGGUUUAAUUCGACGCAACGCGAAGAACCUUACCUGCCCUUGACAUGCCAGGAAUCCCACAGAGAUGUGGGAGUGCCUUCGGGAACCUGGACACAGGUGCUGCAUGGCUGUCGUCAGCUCGUGUCGUGAGAUGUUGGGUUAAGUCCCGCAACGAGCGCAACCCUUGUCUCUAGUUACUAACAGUUCGGCUGAGCACUCUAGAGAGACUGCCGGUGAUAAACCGGAGGAAGGUGGGGAUGACGUCAAGUCAUCAUGGCCCUUAUGGGCAGGGCUACACACGUGCUACAAUGGACGGUACAGAGGGUCGCCAACCCGCGAGGGGGAGCUAAUCUCACAAAGCCGUUCGUAGUCCGGAUUGCAGUCUGCAACUCGACUGCAUGAAGUCGGAAUCGCUAGUAAUCGCAGAUCAGCACGCUGCGGUGAAUACGUUCCCGGGCCUUGUACACACCGCCCGUCACACCAUGGGAGUCGGUUGCACCAGAAGUAGGUAGUCUAACCUUCGGGAGGGCGCUUACCACGGUGUGGUCGAUGACUGGGGUG
rnacentral:rRNA from 1 species